AUGCACCUUUAAGAUCUGGUUGGGUGUGUCUGCCCUGUGAUAGUACAGAAAGCCAUUGUAGACCACAUGGCCAGUUCCCUGCCAGGGAAAGGGGAGCUGAAUUGGAUGAGCCUGGGUGAGCCUUCCCUCAGUGAAGGUCUUCAAGGAUUUAAACUCCAGUACGGUGUUGUUCUUAUUCCCGCUGAAGAAAUAGAUUUUGGCAGAGCCCUUAGUAGGGUCUUUCAGCCAGGAUCCAUAGACGUCCCCUGCUUUCUUCACUAUCUUCAGAGACUUCACACCAGUGAGAGCUAUGUUGCAGUCUAUACAUGGAAGGACAAGAGUAAGAUUGAAAGUAUCCUAAUUUAUUUCUCAAUAUCAUGUACAACACACACACAAGUAUAUUACAUUGUUUUCCAGUUAACAUCAGUUUCCUAAUUACCUGUCCCCAGUGUGAUCUUUACUAUUUUCUUCUGGGUGUCUUUCAUCUGCUGUUCCAUCAGGGCCUCCUCUACCUCGAUGUGGGGCUGGUUAGGGGUCUUAUUCUCCAGGUACUCCACGUCCCUCUCCACUCGCUCCACCCGCAUGACUACAUUAUCCACCUGAGUCUUUACCUCCGUUCGGUGCACCUCCAUGCUAGCCAGCUGGCCACGCACCUUUGUAGACAGGUCAUAGAUCUUCUGGUCCACCUGCUGGGUGUUCUGCUCACAUUUGAUGAGACGCUCCUGGGCAAGAGAGUUGGGCAAUCCUCCUCUCAAAAUACUGCAUCAUGAAGGCUUCCUGGGUGGACCUCUGAGCAUGCCCCAACCCCAGGCUCAGGACGAGCAGUGUCAACAUCCAGCAGGUGGCGCCACAUUAUCUGGAGAAGACUGAAGUUUUCAUUUUCUCCUGAGGACCUGCAUGCCAGCUGUAUCCAGUCCAGUCUCCAAACAUCACCUGGCUAUGAGCAGACAGCAUCCUGGGAGCGCCUCGGGUGUCCCAACAUAUCACCUGGCUAUGAGCAGACAGCAUCCUGGGAGCGCCUCGGGUGUCCCAACAUAUCACCCUGCUCUGAGCAGACUGCAUCCUGGGAGUGCCGCAGGUCUCCCAACAUAUCACCUGGCUAUGAGCAGACAGCAUCCUGGGAGCGCCUCGGGUGUCCCAACAUAUCACCCUGCUCUGAGCAGACUGCAUCCUGGGAGUGCCGCAGGUCUCCCAACAUAUCAACUGGCACUUCCUGUCUGCAGGGGGAUUGUCAUCCACAUUCUCUCUUGCUCUGACUCACCAUUAGGCAAACCAAGACUGACCAGGGGAGGGGAAAAGAGCUAGAUAGAUUAAAUUAUAUUUUCAUUAAAGUAAGAUUAGACCGAAGGGUAAAGAAUGGGAUGAAAAACACGUUCAUGCACGGAUAAAAUGCUUUGUCCGUACUCCCUCCUUGCCUCCAUUUCCCAGUUCUAAAGAGCAGGUCCCCUCUGCUCUCUGGUGGUGGCUGUGCUGUUAAGAAGCAGUCAUGAGAGCAAACCCAUUUUGGCACCACUUUGCACUUCAGAGCAAUCCUGCUGUUUUAAACUAUUUAUUUUUCUAACUAAUUACGGGAGCAUAGGGGCUGGAUGCUGUACGUGAUUAGUAAGAAUGCAGGCACACCACAGACGCCAACCCACGUCAGUUCUUGCAUGACUACAUUCCAGCAAAUGCCAGGGCUUACAAUGGCUGGAUAGGUAUUAACACAUCAUCUAACUACAUCAUGUGACAUAACAAUCUAAUGCCUGACUGCACAGUUGAUGAUGUGGCAUGCAACCAUUGGUUGAUGCAAUGCAACUCCUGCACAUCUAGUUGUUUAGGAACUCUAUCAUUAAUUGAGCUCUCCAUCUGGCUGCUGGUGGGGUCCCAUUCCCCUCAUCAGAGUUCACCUGAUGACUUCCUGCUGACUGCACAGUGCUGGGUGAUUGAUGUGAUUUCCCUGAGGGAGGGGAGUGGUUCUAAAUCUGGCUCCAGCACUGCAGAUGGAACCGGCUCCGGUCCGUGUCGUGUUCCCAUCAGCAGCCCAGUGUGCAGCUCCAACACUAUGAUUGGAGCACUCCCCACUGGCCUUCAAUCACACCAAACAUAUUGCGUAUUUUUUCAUCUUCCAUCCCCCUGCCUCAACCUCAUUUACUGUUUUUUUAAUAUUUUUUUUAUACAUUUAGGGGGUAGAUCAGCUUUAGUAUUGCAGAUAGAUUGUGGUUUACAUCAAUGUAAUUGUUUGCAGCAUUCCCAAUCCCCCAUAUUUUCUUAAAUGUUUUCAAUAUAUUUUCCUUUCUUAUUUUCCCCUAAACCUACCACCCCUACCCCAAUUGGAGUAUUGUAAGGGACAACAAUACUUAGACUUCUACUUCCAACUUCUACUUCUACAUUUUACGGGAACGGUACAUUUGACCUUUGUUAUCCCUUUAGUCCAACCCUUCAGCUACCCUCAACACCUCCCAUCUAUCUCUGAAAACUAUCCAGUUUUGAUUUUUACUUGCCAUAUACAGUACCAGUAAAAAGUUGACACACCUACUCAUUCAAGGGUUUUUCUUUAUUUUUUAUUAUUUUCUACAUUGUAGAAUAAUAGUGAAGACAUCA